GAUAUUUUCAUCAAUGUUCGUCUCUUUUAACAUUUUACAAGAAUCUUUCAUUUUCAAAACCAAAAUCAAAUAAAACUCUAGGAAACCAAUCAGUACAAUUUUAAUUGGGUAAUCCAGUUACUGAUUUUUUCUUUCUACAAUGUGAUAAACAGUUAAACACACCCGUUCUUGUUAUGGAUUUGGACCCUCGAGUCUUUGCCUCUCUGUGUACUGCUUAGUUCACUUCCUAUCGGUAUUUGAUUUACUAGUAAGAUCAAAUAUCAAAACAUUUCCCUGUGUUUUUGUACUUGAUUUAUGUCUCUCGUCUCUUUUUUAUAGUCUAAUUGUUGCUUAUGGCCUCUUUUUUUGACAGGUUCAGAGAGGUGUGACGUAUCCCUGACUCAUGUACAUCCAAUUAGAGUUUGCAUUACUUUGCUAGUGGUUUGCCUUGAUGCCUUCACAAAAAUCAGGUGAUUAUUCUUUUAGUUUUGCACUCUUUUGCACUACCAGCUAUUAUUUUUUAGGGGAAAUCUUGUAAUAAUUGUGUAGUUUUCAGAAAUAAGCCAUAUUCUUCCUAUGCAUGACAAGGGUUUCAAGCAAUGGCUUAUAUGCAUCUUGCUUCUAAACCAAAAGGCUAUAUGUGUUUUUCAUGUGAGGCUUAGCAGAAUGAUACAUACAUAUAUGUGUUUUCUUCAUGAACCCCUUUUUAUUCUCUUAUUACUAAUAUUUGUAUCAAAUUGUACUAAGAAGUGCAUUAUGCUUCUGAAACUGCAUUUCCAUGGCAUUCAUAAUAUGUAGUUAGAAUGUUGUUAUUAAAAAAGUAGUAGAGAUUGUAUGCUGAUAAAUUCAUGUUGGAUUAUGAGAUAUUUUGUUCAGAGUAAGAUUGAUAAGUUGAGGGACAACAUGUUACUUUGGAGGAAACUUCUAAUAAGAUUGGUAUCAGGAUCAAGAUGGUCAACAAUCACUUCACUUUCCUGGUAAUAGUCCCUCGUCUCCUCUCGGUUUCAUUUCAAUAGAUUCUACAUUCUAGCUUUCAUGUAGUUUCCUUGUCUUUGUAAAUAAAGCGAUCUGACCUUUUAUUGUGACUUCUGAGUGUCUCAUAUAUUUUUUCUUGUUUUGACAAAAGGUGUCUCAUGUAUGGCUCAUUGCUUAAGUGAAAAAUCGUUAAGUUGAAAAAAGAAAUAUGCAUAAGACAGCUUCAACUCAUCAUGAGUGGAUCCUCAAGUGUAUGGAAAUAGGUAUUCAUUGCUUAAUUUUAUUCUUUAAAAGAGAUUUUUAUUUGUAUGCAAUGUGUGAAAAGAUUGAAAGACUCUUCACUGGAUGAGGAUGAAGAAUCUCUAGAACAUCACUGAUUGUGUUUGCUUAGCUUAGUUUCUUACUUACUUACUUCGACGUCUCUUUUUUGUUAUGUGUUCACUUGGUAUAGACAGUUAUUACUUACAUUAAAAUUUCAUCUUUUUAAUAGUAUGACACUUUCCAUUUAUUAUUUUGAUAUAUAUUUUUCAUCAAUCGGUUGAUGUUUUGAUUGUGAACAUCUUUCAUUUGGAACUUAGGAUGAAAAAGAAAAUCAGAACGUAUAUUCUUUUUAAAAAAACAAAUUAUAACAUAUAUAUAUAUAUAUAUAUAUAUAUAUAUAUAUAUAUAUAUAUAUAUAUUCAGAUUUCAGAUUCAGAAUUUAAAGAAACAUAGUUACAUCAACACUUCAAGUGGAUACUAAAAUAUAUAUUCAGAUUCAUAAUUUAAAGAAACAUAGGUUACAUCAACUCUACAUAGCAUAGGCUUGGCUGACACUAAAUUGCCCCGGUUUUGAUUUGGCGCACGAAAAAUGUUGCAACAGCUUCGUAGAUGAUUCUAAUUUGCUUCUGGCUUCGAAGCACACAAAAUUCCUGUAGUGUUUCUAGGAGCAAUGGAUUAAGGUGCCACCUCAUGUUUUGCUCAUUGCUUAAUGUACUUCUGUUGUUCUCCCAUGAUAUAACAACCCUCUUGCAACGACCAUACGCCCUUGCUUCCGUGCUUGAUAUCCUUCUGUUGUGUCUCUUCGUCUCCUCUGCACCUCCUUCCACACCUUGAAGCUAGAACAGAAAUUAAACUCACUUUCGUUGACGGAAAAUUCAAAUCAAUUCUAUGCUGUUAUUUAGUCUUACAUUAUGAGCAUAGUUGAUUUUAGAACAUGAGUCAUGAAAAAACAAAAUAAUAAUGCUAUCAACCGUAUAUUAUGUUAGUGUGGGAUUUCCCCUAUUGGUGAAUCAUGUAAAAAUAAACUAACAUUGUACCGACUAAGUUAAUUGUAUGUGUACUGUUUAGUAAGUAAUUAAAGUAUAACCCACCAAACAUGCAAUAAAAUAAAUUGUGUAUAAGAGAAACAUUAGCUUGUUUUAAUGUAAUCUACUAUCAAUAUAAUAGAGUAAACCAAUAGUUAAGUCGUAACAUGAAAGAAAGAGUUAAACUGAAGAUGGAAAGUUAGAAAAUGUAACUGCAAUGUGGACCAUAACUAACAUUUAUGGUUUUCAUGCCACAGAUAAUAGUUUAACAGAUAGAUUGUAUUAAUCUGAAAAUUGCAGGAUACAAAACAAACAGAUAGCUGGUUUUCUAAUAAAACCUUGAACCAUAUGUCAUACUGUUAAGAAAAUGCACUUUGAUACAAUCAACCUGAUAGCAUGUCUAUUCUAACACAGAAAAUUUAUUGUAUGUAGUUAUGAUUGCAUAUGAUGGUACUAUAUAUAAAUUGAAUAUGAAUGUUGAAUAACUUACUAAUUAAAGAUUUUGAAAGACCUCUUUGAAGACAACAUUAGUGGUAGUGUUUAGUGGCUGUCUUUCAUCAUCAUGUAUUAAGAUCUUGAGACCCUGCUUGCUCUUAACUCUGGAAACUGCCACGUAUAGCUGGCCAUGGCUAAACACUGGUCUAGGCAAGUAUAGCCCAACAUAGUCGAGAGAUUGGCCUUGUGAUUUAUUAAUUGUCAUAGCAUAUGAGACAAUUAUAGGAUAUUGUCUCCUAAUAAGCUUGAACGGCCAUGGUGAUUGAGACAGAGAGAUAGAAAUUUGUGGAAUGUAGAUAAUGCUUCCAAUAUUCUUCCCAUAGACGACCUUUGCUUCUAGCACAUGAUUUGCUAGCCUCGUAACAAUUAAUCUGGUUCCAUUACACAAUCCUUCUAAUUGGUCUAAAUUUCUCAAGAGCAUUAUUGGAGUACCAACCUUGAGUUUGAUUUUGUGAUUAGGAAGACCCGAUGCUGUUAGUGAGCUCAAAAACUCUGGGGUAAAUUCUUCAAAUGCUUCAUUGGCAUUGGCUUCUAACUGAUCUAUAGAAUCUGAACUCAAAUACACCAUUUCCUCACCUAUAUUGUAGCAUGGUAUAUUUCAAAGAACAUAAUAAAUAUUGAACAAAAGAAGGAUGGAAAAUAAGUAAACUUUGUGAAUCAAGUAGUACCUGGAAUCAAUCCUAGGACAUAUUCAUUUAUUUGAUCGAUAACUUCAAUUGUUGAUGCUAAAAUUGCCCUAGAUUGCCAAAAAUCUUCAUUCUUAUAAUUUUCCAUUAAAUUUGGAUAUGUACUUCUCACAAUUGCAUGAAUAGGAUCGUCAAAAUUGGUAAUCAAUAAUUCACUUGGAAUCUCUAUCUCAGCAUUACCAUCAUUUGGCUCAGAAAUCUUGCCAUCGCCAAUGUUUAAUAUCCAUUGUGAGAACUGGUUGAGUUCCGCUGCAUCAGAACUUUGUGCGCAAGAUUGCAAACGCAUAUUUUUUGUUAGAGUUAGCACAUGACAAUGAUCCCAAAUAUAUGAUGCAUUAAUUGUUGCAUGGACGACGUCAGAACGACUUCCUCUUGGAAUGACAGGUAGAAUUUGUCUAAAGUCUCCCCCAAAAACUACUAUUUUUCCUCCAAAUAUUGAAGUGCUUGAACUCAUUAUGUCUUUAAGAGUUUUGUCUAGUGCCUCAAAGCAAAAUUUAUGGGUCAUUGGAGCUUCAUCCCAUAUUAUGAGUUUUGUUAGUUUCAGUAGCUCCGCGAUUUCACUUCCUUUUUCUAUAUUGCAUGUCGAGCAAUCAAAUGCAGGAACAGGAAUUUUAAACUCUGAAUGUGCUGUUCUUCCUCCUGGUAAUAAAAGUGAUGCUAUUCCACUUGAUGCCACAGUCAACACAAUAUGACGUUGAGAACGUAUGGCUGAUGCUAAAGUUCUCCACAUGAAAGUUUUUCCAGUUCCACCAUGACCAUGUAGGAAAAAUACUCUUCCCUUUUGGUUGUUGACUGCUUGCAUAAUUGUUUCAAAUAUUCCUCUUUGCUCAUCUAUAAAGAAAUUAGAUUCAAUUUUUAAAACUUGGCACAUCAAGAUUAGACAAUUCGUAUAGUGAAUGUUUGUUUGUACAGUAAACGUAAAUUUGAUAACCUGUAAGAGAACUGAAUAAUUGUUGGAAUUGUUGUUGUUGAAUAGAUUGAUCAUAACCACAUUCUUCAUAUAUUAGUCUAUUCCCUAAUUGACUUGCAACAUAUCCUUUUGGAUAUGGCAUUGAUGGAUAUUCCUUCAAACUUCUUCUAUUUGUUUGCAAAUGUUUCUCAAUCUCAAGCAAAGAUAAACUUUGUAUCUCUUCAGAAGUAAGUUGCAAGUCUAAAUAUAAGAUAAACCCUUAUUCAAUAAGUAUUGGUUAUGAAGUACAUAAAUUGUUUGAUCUAUGAAAUAAGGUUACCGAACCAUACCUUGAUUAGCUGUCAAUUUUCUCUGAUCAUAAAGUAUCCCAUCAGACAACAAUUUCCAAGUUUGAUUCCACACAUGGUCUGGUCUAUUAAUGGUACACGAUAGGAGCAUCGUGCUAAAUAACUUCCUUAAGUACUUUCCAGAACCCCACACAUUUGCCUCUUUUAUGGUCUCUAUAUGUUUUCUAUCAUCUUCAAGGAAACCCAUUGCAAAACAUGCUUCUCUGAAAGUUUUAUAUUGGAUAUGGGCAACAGUUUUAAUAUCUUCAUAGCUGACAGGUCCUUUUACAGCAGUAAGCAUCAUUCUUAAGUAAAAAAGUUCUCCAGUACUUGGAGGAACCCAAAUUAGCCUCCCAAUAGUAUAACCUUUCAUACGCGGUUUCCAUGACCUUUUCCUCUUAUCAUAUGCAAAUUUAGAAACAAACUGAGCAUACGUCAAAUUCUUGGCUUGAGGAUAAAUCUUGUUUGCUUGCAUCCAAGAUGUAAACAUUGAUUCAGUGACACUUGGCUUCAACAGGACAUCAUCAAUAUGCUCAUAAUCGUUAAAGUAAACCGGUUGUUCGCCUGGAAUAUGAAAGAACAACCUUUCAACUGCUGGCUUCCGACCAUGUAUUGGAAAUGAAAAAAUUCUCCAACAUGCUUCACCUGGUGAUACAUACCUACAAUCAAAGUAUUGUUUGAUCUCAUCAAUGUUACCACUUUGAGUUGAAUCUCUGUCUUGUGUUGGAUCAACAACGGCUGUUAUCCUACCAUAACCUUUAUUUAUGUGCUUGAAUAAGUACUUAAUCGAUGCACUUUUGCUACACCAUUCCACAUUGAUAUGUGCUUGGUACUUCAUUAGCAACGUAGGGUUAUAUGGUACAAUAUGUUUGUUAUUGAGUGAAACACCGUUCUUGACAAUUGUGUUACCAUUGUCUCUUCGUCUGUACACCGGAUAACCUUCUUUGUCAACAAUUGUUGAGUUCUGAUACUUCUUAGGGUAGUACUUUGUGCAUUUUCCAUCUUUCAUGCAAGGUGAUGAUUUAUGAGAUAAACCACAUGGACCAUGGAUCAUAUGAUUUUUAACCAAAUUAUACAACUCUUUCUCAUGUUCCUGAUUGGGUAUCUCUGCUGAAAUGAUCUUGUCAAUAACACCAGGAGUGGGGAGCUUAUUAGAUGGAUGUAGAAAUAUAAGUAUGUGUGCAUGUGGCAAUCCCCUCUUUUGAAACUCAAUGGUGUAUAUAUCUGAAAGUAAAGUUUGUUAAUUUAUAUAAAUUUGCAAUGCUUGUAGAUAAAGUAAUAUAUGUAUGUUGCGUGCAUUAAUAAUAAACUUACAUGCAAGAACUUUCCCAAGCAUGUUUUUCUUGGUCAAAUCUGAAAGGAGCUCAUCCAACUUCAUUUUAAAUACCCUUGAUAUUAUAUCAGGACGAUCAUGUGCUUUCAAAUUCAUUGAUCCUAGCACUCUUUGUAUUUCUGGCCAGUUGGGAUUGCAAGUAAAUGUAAUGAAAAGGUCCGGAAAACCAACAUAGCUACAAAUUGCCAUUCCGUCAAAAUAUAAUUGAUCCAUGUAUCUACGACUUCCCACAUGUGUUGCAGGUAAUAUUACUCUUUUUCCUUUGUUUGACCCUUGAGUUUGAAUUUGGUGAUCAGUUUCAUUCAGACUACGAUACUUAGAGACUCGUAGUUUUGAUUGAUUUUUCCUCAGCCAUUCGAGUCUUUCAGACUCCAACAUGGCGAAUCCAUCAACUAAAAACUGUUGGUAUAGUUUUCUUGAACAUAAUAAAGUUUGGCCUUCCUCUGUUCUGGAUUGAAUUCUAAAAGCUAACCAUUCUCUUAUAGUCAGCCAAUUUCUUUUAUUGCUCUUAGAACUUUCUCUAUCUCUAUGAGCCACACCACGUCGAUAGCCAUCCUCGCCAUAAGGAAAUAUUAAGGGAUAUUGGUAAGCCAGGUAGCUUGCAUGAAAUUCAUCUAUUCUUUGAAGUUUGCCACGUUGAGUCUCUAUUAUUAUAUCUCUUUUUGAAGCAGUGUCAACAUCACCAACAAUAAGAGCAGCUACCUCAGACACAGUGGGUUGAUUGUUAAUUCUACCAUCCGUAAACCUCUCAGAAAUCAACCUUAGCUUCAAGUUGUUCGCAUUACCUUGAUUCAAUCUUUCUCUGACCAUCCGAAAAGACUUUGUAUGUGUAUUAUGCUGAUAAAGCAUUUCGGACAACUUGUAAACAAUAUCUGGAUCAAUGUUGUUAUUGUUCCUGUAGAUCAAAUCAGGAAAAGAGAUUAACUGUAAAGAAUGAUUAAAAUAUAAAGCUUAUGAAUAAACUUAUCUGUCUAGUUAUAUGAAAUAAAAACUUUCAUAAACAUGAAUGUACAUACCUAAACCCUUGAAGUCUGUUUUGUAUUUCAUUUUCUGUAUCAUAAAUGUAUAGUUGUGCAAAUUUUGGUGAUUGUCCUGGCAUAGGCAAUAAACUUCCUAUUCUAUGACAUGGUUGACCUUGUAUUUUGAUUAUUGGUGGCCCUCUGCCAUUAUUGAUUUUGUUAUCCAACUUUGCUCCUGGUGAAGUGAAUGCGAACAUCAUAUUAUAAACUCUGAUCUGUUGCUGAAAGUUCUUGCUAUCUGAUGAAUCACGAUCAAAUAACAGAUGCUGAAGCAAUGGAG
rnacentral:lncRNA from 1 species